GACUUACAUCUCUUCGGAGCAUUUUACGAGGUGGCUGCAUGGUUGUCGUCAGCUCGUGCCGUGAGGUGUCGGGUUAAGUCCCAUAACGAGCGCAACCCCUACCUUUAGUUGCCAUCAGGUUAAGCUGGGGACUCUAAAGGAACUGCCUACGCAAGUAGUGAGGAAGCGGGGAGUGACGUCAAAUCAGCAGGCCCUUACGUCCAGGGCUACACACGUGCUACAAUGGCCGAUACAGAGGGCAGCUACCUGGUGACAGGAUGCAAAUCUCCAAAGUCGGUCUCAGUUCGGAUCGGAGUCUGCAACCCGACUCCGUGAAGUUGGAUUCGCUAGUAAUCGCGCAUCAGCCAUGGCGCGGUGAAUACGUUCCCGGGCCUU
rnacentral:rRNA from 1 species